rnacentral:misc_RNA from 1 species
GUAGUCCGGGUCGAUCUGAGCC